UAACAAGGAUUCCCCUAGUAACUGCGAGUGAAGAGGGAAGAGCUCAAAUUUAAAAUCUGGCAGCUCUGCUUCCGAGUUGUAAUCUGUAGAAGCAUUUUCUGCAUUGGACCGUGUACAAGUCUCUUGGAAGAGAGCGUCAUAGAGGGUGAGAAUCCCGUCCAUGACACGGACUACCAAUGCUCUGUGAUAUGCUCUCAAAGAGUCGAGUUGUUUGGGAAUGCAGCUCAAAAUGGGUGGUAAAUUCCAUCUAAAGCUAAAUACAGGCGAGAGACCGAUAGCGAACAAGUACCGUGAGGGAAAGAUGAAAAGCACUUUGGAAAGAGAGUUAAACAGUAUGUGAAAUUGUUGAAAGGGAAACACUUGAAGUCAGUCACGUCCUGCAGGACUCAGCCUUGCCUUUUAUUAGGCCUGGUGUAUUUCCUGCAGGAUGGGUCAACAUCAAUUUUGGUCAGUGGAUAAAGGAGGAGGGAAUGUGGCACCCUUGCGGGUGUGUUAUAGCCCUCCUUCAUAUGUACUGACUGGGAUUGAGGACUGCAGUAGGUCCUUUUGGACUUGCUUAGGAUGUUGACAAAAUGGCUUUAAGUGACCCGUCUUGAAACACGGACCAAGGAGUCUAACAUGCCUGCAAGUGUUUGGGUGGAAAACCCUUGCGCACAAUGAAAGUGAAAGUUGGGAACCUCCGCAAGGGGGUGCACUGACACCCAGCCCUGAUGUUUACUGACGGUGCUGCGGUAGAGCAUGUAUGUUGGGACCCGAAAGAUGGUGAACUAUGCCUGAAUAGGGUGAAGCCAGAGGAAACUCUGGUGGAAGCUGGUAGCGAUUCUGACGUGCAAAUCGAUCGUCAAAUUUGGG
rnacentral:rRNA from 1 species